rnacentral:rRNA from 1 species
ACGCUGGCGGCGUGCCUAAUACAUGCAAGUCGAACGGUCUUUUCUAUGGAAGCUUGCUUCCACUGAGAAGAUAGUGGCGAACGGGUGAGUAACACGUGGGGUAACCUGCCCAUAAGAGGGGGGAUAACAUCCGGAAACGGGUGCUAAUACCGCAUAGUUUUCUUGAUCGCAUGAUCGGGAAGGAAAGACGGCCUUUGUGCUGUCGCUUAUGGAUGGACCCGCGGCGUAUUAGUUAGUUGGUGAGGUAACGGCUCACCAAGACGAUGAUACGUAGCCGACCUGAGAGGGUGAUCGGCCACAUUGGGACUGAGACACGGCCCAAACUCCUACGGGAGGCAGCAGUAGGGAAUCUUCCGCAAUGGACGAAAGUCUGACGGAGCAACGCCGCGUGAGUGAAAGAAGGUUUUCGGAUCGUAAAACUCUGUUGUCAGAGAAGAACAAGUUGGAGAGUAACUGCUCCAGCCUUGACGGUAUCUGACCAGAAAGCCACGGCUAACUACGUGCCAGCCGCCGC